CGAACGAAGUAGAUUCGCGAAAACUCUAGUGAAAGGAAGGAGAAAAGGAGAAACAUUUAGUCGCUAUCAAACCUUAGAAGAAGCCUUAUUUACAGGAAGAUAGUUUCAACGUUGUUUGAAUAAGAUACUAGAACGCAGAAAUGUGUUGUGGACAAGAAAAUAUUAUGAUUGAAGACCAAAAGGACGUUCGAAAACUGUUAUCCUCGGCGAUCCGAAAGAAGAGAUAUAACAGGACCAGAAGACAUCCGAGUAUGUGCGUUGACGCUGUUCUGGCAUCAACAAUAAAUUUAUUAAAAAAUAAUGAAUUAACGAAAAAAAUUCUUGAUUCGAAAGUUGUGAAAAGGGCGAGUACGUUUCCCACGGAUAGGCUACGGAGAAAGAGAAGCAGAUGGGACAUGAAAACUCGGGAGAGCAAGGCUUACGACGAAGAAUUAGAAAAACUCACAGGUAUGGAUUCUUUUUUUGAGAAACUUCGAGAAGUAUCUCACAGAAAUAUCAAAGAACAAAGCGAGCAAAUGCCAAUGGAUCGUGAAAACACAGUACUGGCAUGUCCGUCUUGAAGAAGAUUCUCGAAUCCGGUCACAGCAAUAGGUAAAAGGUUCCAGAAUGCAUGCUUAUAGAACUGCAAAGGUUGUCCCAAGAUCAUUCAAGUAUGGGGAAAAUACAUGGAAACACAAAAAAUUGUUCGAAGAUGGGGAGGCACAAUUUCAACCCUUUGUUAUUGUGUGCCUUUAUUUGGUUUUCAAUAUGGAGAUGUGGCUUCGAGACUGCAACACAGGAUGGAAGGAAGACGCGAUGAUGAAUUACAAUCGAAAAACUGUUAGCUUUCGGUGCGAUAAAAUCCAAAAAUAGUUAUCAAACGUCACCAGCUUUUAUUGGGCAACAAUUAAUUGUUUCGUUUUGGAUUCCAUUGAAGAAUCUACAGUUGAAAUAACAAAUUUGGUCAAAGUGUUUUCUAGAGAUAAUAAUGAUCUCUGACUUGAAUUUUCAAAGAUUGUCUGUUACCUUUCAGUUGUUAACAUUGAGUUUUGAGUACCACUGAAUUUCGAAGAAGACAUCUUGGCAAAUGGAAUGCACUUGUCAGUUUGAUGUGCUGUUUAUGGUUGUCAAACCAAAGAAACAGUGGACUGGUGUUAGUCGAUGUUUGCAGAUGAUCUGAGGAAGUACCUGCUGCUCCUUCUCACAGGAUUUUAUAUGUUUGAAAUGAAGAAUUCACAUGGAACGAAGAAAGAAUGAUUAUGGACCACUGUUGUCAGCGAAAGGUUUUCAUUCCUGGUUUUUGGCUUUGGUCCAGCUAUUAAUCUACAGUUGUUUGUUGAGUUGGUAUAAAAUAUCUGAACAAGUAAACCAUUUCACUCUUUGAGAGUUGCAUCAGUAGUCUGAUUCAUAUCUUUGUAAUUGUAUUGAGAUCUAUAGCAAUCUGAUAGUGAAUCUCCUUGUUGCUAAAACAAUUUUGAAAUGAAGUUAUGAUGCCAUACUAUUUGUCAUCUGAAGAUGUAAUAUCUGUGAAAUUUCAUUACUUUCUUGUCUUUGGAUAUUUUUAGCAUGAUAAUGAUUCAAGUUAGUAUGCCGCUUUGGUGCAUUGAAUGCAUUAAAAAGAACUUAAAACACAAUCUGAAUUAAGGUACUUUUGAUUAUUCUGUUUUAUGUUUCUGAAAAGUGUUCUGUGGGCUUGCAAGGUUUAUGGUAUUGGUUAUUUCAUGCAGGAACGUGCAAGGCUGCCUAGCAGUUAUGGGGAUUCGGAAGUCUGUGUAAACCAAACCCUCUUCAAUAUAUUUUGUUUGAUCACACAUUUCUUGAGAAAUCAGACUCUGCAUUUCACUUAAUUGAAUUUUUCAUUUUCCAAACCUAACAUAGGUGUAUGUGCUGGAAGGUAACCUUUGUUUGCGAAGUUGGCAAUGUAGACUGCAAUUGCUUCUUCUCCGUGGUUUGUGAGGCAUUAAGGCCAGAGGCUCAUUGUUGUAAUAUGUUAAAGAUACACGUGAGUACAUCUCGUUUGAAAAAUGGUUUUUGGCCUCUAUCUUUACUUGUCUCAGUUUAGUUCAAAAAUAUAAUUUUUCAUCAAACAGUCUGUAGGAGCCAGUCACAAAUGAUUAUGAUAGAAGGGGACAAAUUACCAUGUAUUUCCAGUAUGUUCUAUUUCUUUGAAAAGCUGUAUUACUGUAGUUGCUAGCAGGCAAUUAUAAACUUUAGCUUGAAGGAAUACAUUUUAAAUACAUCUGCCUCUUUAAAGUUGAGACAGUGACUUGCAGAAAACUUUUUGUAUUUUCUUGUUGAACCAAAGAGUGCAAAGUAUAUAAAUUAAAAUUCUUAAAAAAUGCAUACAAAUUUUUUCUUGUAAGAACCUUACUCAAUCUGUGGGAAGAGUCAAAAAUCAAGCAAAGAUUCACAAACCAACUUAAAGAUUUUGGGUUCGAUCUCUCUGUCAAUGCAUAUAAAUAAAGGAAAUUCAUGGAAAAAAUCACUGAAUAUGGUGCAUUGUCUAUAAUGCUCAAAACAAACAAACCACUGUGAAAGUUGAAUAUAUACUUACUUGGUGGAUACCAAUAUAAGGUACAGGCAAGUCGCCAAUACUAAUUGUAAGGGUUUUAGAAACAAGCAGAGGUAACCUGGAAAGAGUAUUUUAUUCCAAAUUUUUUGUCAGUUUUGAAAUUGUAUCAAAACUUUUUAACACUGGUUCUGUUUUGGUCACUGCAUUCCAAUUAUAUCAAGAACUGUUAGUGAUAUCAUUAUAGAGCUACUUUUUCCUCCAGAUCUUCUCAAGUGAAGUGGAUGUAGUCUAACUAUUCCAAAGGAUGAAAUUUCCUUUUAACAAAUGCAGAGUUUUAGAGCAUUUGACAAAUAUGCGACCCCAAGCACAAAAUUUCGGUUAGGAUGUGUUUUGCUGUAAAAUUCCCUAUAAAUUUUGCUAUUUGUAUCGCCAUCAAAACCAAAAAAGUUGCCUCCGGAUGCUCAAAAGUAUGAUCAUAAUGAAUCUGAGCUGUUUUUUUCUAAAGAUGUCUUCAGCAUUUGGUGAUUUCUUUAUAAAACUAUUUCAUUUCCCUACCCAAUGUUCAACUGAAAACUUUUCAAGUACCUUCUUAGAAUAAUUAGGCAGGGUAGGGUAGGACAAAAAUGAUUGUUCUUUCAGCGUGUAAGUUCACACUUGCAAGCCUGACUUUAUUGGAGAGAGAAGUUGCUAGGUCAGAAGAAUUCAGAGCCCUCACCAGACAAGGUACAUAACCGUUUAAAGUAGAAGUAGAUCAUGUUGGUAUCCUAUGUAUUGCGAAGAGGAUAUGUUGGAAAGCAGAUUGCUUUGUGAGAGAAAGCAGGUACCAAGGAUUCAUCAAGGUCUUUGACACGACAAUGCCCUCUUUGCUAUCAAUUCUCCUGCAUGAUGUGAAAGAUGAAGGCCCCUUAGUUUGUUCAAGUUGCAAAUGUUGUUCAUUUGGGUGGUAUAUUUGAAUCAAUCGGAAAUUGUAAGAUUGGUCGAGAAUGGCUUUUGGUCAAGGAAGAAAUUGCGAGUUGCUCUAAUCAAACCAGGCUGACCUUGAAAAUAUUUGCGAGAGUGGUUGCCACUAUUAUCACAUUGACGCCCAUUCCUGCCAUUUGAUGGAACCAAAUUACCUUGAUAUGUCCCUACUGGUGGUCAUCUCUUGGGGUACCAACUGUUUCCGUGCUAAGAAAUGAUAGCCUGUUUUGCAAUGGAACUUUGCAGUAUUGUAAAUUGUUGUUACUAUAGUUUUGGUGAGUUUGAAUCACGUUUGAAAAUUUUAUUGAAAUUUUUCUUGUGAAAAUUUACAACUUUUAAAACUGCUUUUCUGAACUCGGUAGAAUUUUUUGCUCUGAAGUUUCAUUCAAAGUUCUUGACUUGUGUUUUCGUGAUCAUGUGCAUAGGUUUGGGGUGGGUUGUGUGCUCUUACACUCUCUAAAUCUUUGCCUAGGUUCUUUCGUUAGGCAAUCAAGAAACCUCUCAAUGAAACGGCAAAAGUAGUCGGGAAGUUCACAAAAUCAGAUAUCUAUAGAACUAGUGCCUGUGAACAGCACUUGAAAGAAUGUAUGAUCGUUUUGCAUUUAUCUUUGAAAAUUUUUCAUUUUGAUUAUCAUUCUGUUUCUGAAAACUGCAGUGAUUUUGGUGAUUUAUUUGUGAAAGUGUUCGAUUUCUCUUCAUGCUGAUAGAUGAAUUUUUUUCAAGUACCUUCAUAGAAUAAUUAGGCAGGGUAGGGUAGGACAAAAAUGAUUGUUCUUUCAGCGUGUAAGUUCACACUUGCAAGCCUGACUUUAUUGGAGAGAGAAGUUGCUAGGUCAGAAGAAUUCAGAGCCCUCACCAGACAAGGUACAUAACCGUUUAAAGUAGAAGUAGAUCAUGUUGGUAUCCUAUGUAUUGCGAAGAGGAUAUGUUGGAAAGCAGAUUGCUUUGUGAGAGAAAGCAGGUACCAAGGAUUCAUCAAGGUCUUUAACACGACAAUGCCCUCUUUGCUAUCAAUUCUCCUGCAUGAUGUGAAAGAUGAAGGCCCCUUAGUUUGUUCAAGUUGCAAAUGUUGUUCAUUUGGGUGGUAUAUUUGAAUCAAUCGGAAAUUGUAAGAUUGGUCGAGAAUGGCUUUUGGUCAAGGAAGAAAUUGCGAGUUGCUCUAAUCAAACCAGGCUGACCUUGAAAAUAUUUGCGAGAGUGGUUGCCACUAUUAUCACAUUGACGCCCAUUCCUGCCAUUUGAUGGAACCAAAUUACCUUGAUAUGUCCCUACUGGUGGUCAUCUCUUGGGGUACCAACUGUUUCCGUGCUAAGAAAUGAUAGCCUGUUUUGCAAUGGAACUUUGCAGUAUUGUAAAUUGUUGUUACUAUAGUUUUGGUGAGUUUGAAUCACGUUUGAAAAUUUUAUUGAAAUUUUUCUUGUGAAAAUUUACAACUUUUAAAACUGCUUUUCUGAACUCGGUAGAAUUUUUUGCUCUGAAGUUUCAUUCAAAGUUCUUGACUUGUGUUUUCGUGAUCAUGUGCAUAGGUUUGGGGUGGGUUGGGUGCUCUUACACUCUCUAAAUCUUUGCCUAGGUUCUUUCGUUCGGCAAUCAAGAAACCUCUCAAUGAAACGGCAAAAGUAGUCGGGAAGUUCACAAAAUCAGAUAUCUAUAGAACUAGUGCCUGUGAACAGCACUUGAAAGAAUGUAUGAUCGUUUUGCAUUUAUCUUUGAAAAUUUUUCAUUUUGAUUAUCAUUCUGUUUCUGAAAACUGCAGUGAUUUUGGUGAUUUAUUUGUGAAAGUGUUCGAUUUCUCUUCAUGCUGAUAGAUGAAUUUUUUUCAAGUACCUUCAUAGAAUAAUUAGGCAGGGUAGGGUAGGACAAAAAUGAUUGUUCUUUCAGCGUGUAAGUUCACACUUGCAAGCCUGACUUUAUUGGAGAGAGAAGUUGCUAGGUCAGAAGAAUUCAGAGCCCUCACCAGACAAGGUACAUAACCGUUUAAAGUAGAAGUAGAUCAUGUUGGUAUCCUAUGUAUUGCGAAGAGGAUAUGUUGGAAAGCAGAUUGCUUUGUGAGAGAAAGCAGGUACCAAGGAUUCAUCAAGGUCUUUGACACGACAAUGCCCUCUUUGCUAUCAAUUCUCCUGCAUGAUGUGAAAGAUGAAGGCCCCUUAGUUUGUUCAAGUUGCAAAUGUUGUUCAUUUGGGUGGUAUAUUUGAAUCAAUCGGAAAUUGUAAGAUUGGUCGAGAAUGGCUUUUGGUCAAGGAAGAAAUUGCGAGUUGCUCUAAUCAAACCAGGCUGACCUUGAAAAUAUUUGCGAGAGUGGUUGCCACUAUUAUCACAUUGACGCCCAUUCCUGCCAUUUGAUGGAACCAAAUUACCUUGAUAUGUCCCUACUGGUGGUCAUCUCUUGGGGUACCAACUGUUUCCGUGCUAAGAAAUGAUAGCCUGUUUUGCAAUGGAACUUUGCAGUAUUGUAAAUUGUUGUUACUAUAGUUUUGGUGAGUUUGAAUCACGUUUGAAAAUUUUAUUGAAAUUUUUCUUGUGAAAAUUUACAACUUUUAAAACUGCUUUUCUGAACUCGGUAGAAUUUUUUGCUCUGAAGUUUCAUUCAAAGUUCUUGACUUGUGUUUUCGUGAUCAUGUGCAUAGGUUUGGGGUGGGUUGGGUGCUCUUACACUCUCUAAAUCUUUGCCUAGGUUCUUUCGUUCGGCAAUCAAGAAACCUCUCAAUGAAACGGCAAAAGUAGUCGGGAAGUUCACAAAAUCAGAUAUCUAUAGAACUAGUGCCUGUGAACAGCACUUGAAAGAAUGUAUGAUCGUUUUGCAUUUAUCUUUGAAAAUUUUUCAUUUUGAUUAUCAUUCUGUUUCUGAAAACUGCAGUGAUUUUGGUGAUUUAUUUGUGAAAGUGUUCGAUUUCUCUUCAUGCUGAUAGAUGAAUUUUUUUCAAGUACCUUCAUAGAAUAAUUAGGCAGGGUAGGGUAGGACAAAAAUGAUUGUUCUUUCAGCGUGUAAGUUCACACUUGCAAGCCUGACUUUAUUGGAGAGAGAAGUUGCUAGGUCAGAAGAAUUCAGAGCCCUCACCAGACAAGGUACAUAACCGUUUAAAGUAGAAGUAGAUCAUGUUGGUAUCCUAUGUAUUGCGAAGAGGAUAUGUUGGAAAGCAGAUUGCUUUGUGAGAGAAAGCAGGUACCAAGGAUUCAUCAAGGUCUUUGACACGACAAUGCCCUCUUUGCUAUCAAUUCUCCUGCAUGAUGUGAAAGAUGAAGGCCCCUUAGUUUGUUCAAGUUGCAAAUGUUGUUCAUUUGGGUGGUAUAUUUGAAUCAAUCGGAAAUUGUAAGAUUGGUCGAGAAUGGCUUUUGGUCAAGGAAGAAAUUGCGAGUUGCUCUAAUCAAACCAGGCUGACCUUGAAAAUAUUUGCGAGAGUGGUUGCCACUAUUAUCACAUUGACGCCCAUUCCUGCCAUUUGAUGGAACCAAAUUACCUUGAUAUGUCCCUACUGGUGGUCAUCUCUUGGGGUACCAACUGUUUCCGUGCUAAGAAAUGAUAGCCUGUUUUGCAAUGGAACUUUGCAGUAUUGUAAAUUGUUGUUACUAUAGUUUUGGUGAGUUUGAAUCACGUUUGAAAAUUUUAUUGAAAUUUUUCUUGUGAAAAUUUACAACUUUUAAAACUGCUUUUCUGAACUCGGUAGAAUUUUUUGCUCUGAAGUUUCAUUCAAAGUUCUUGACUUGUGUUUUCGUGAUCAUGUGCAUAGGUUUGGGGUGGGUUGGGUGCUCUUACACUCUCUAAAUCUUUGCCUAGGUUCUUUCGUUCGGCAAUCAAGAAACCUCUCAAUGAAACGGCAAAAGUAGUCGGGAAGUUCACAAAAUCAGAUAUCUAUAGAACUAGUGCCUGUGAACAGCACUUGAAAGAAUGUAUGAUCGUUUUGCAUUUAUCUUUGAAAAUUUUUCAUUUUGAUUAUCAUUCUGUUUCUGAAAACUGCAGUGAUUUUGGUGAUUUAUUUGUGAAAGUGUUCGAUUUCUCUUCAUGCUGAUAGAUGAAUUUUUUUCAAGUACCUUCAUAGAAUAAUUAGGCAGGGUAGGGUAGGACAAAAAUGAUUGUUCUUUCAGCGUGUAAGUUCACACUUGCAAGCCUGACUUUAUUGGAGAGAGAAGUUGCUAGGUCAGAAGAAUUCAGAGCCCUCACCAGACAAGGUACAUAACCGUUUAAAGUAGAAGUAGAUCAUGUUGGUAUCCUAUGUAUUGCGAAGAGGAUAUGUUGGAAAGCAGAUUGCUUUGUGAGAGAAAGCAGGUACCAGGGAUUCAUCAAGGUCUUUAACACGACAAUGCCCUCUUUGCUAUCAAUUCUCCUGCAUGAUGUGAAAGAUGAAGGCCCCUUAGUUUGUUCAAGUUGCAAAUGUUGUUCAUUUGGGUGGUAUAUUUGAAUCAAUCGGAAAUUGUAAGAUUGGUCGAGAAUGGCUUUUGGUCAAGGAAGAAUUGCGAGUUGCUCUAAUCAAACCAGGCUGACCUUGAAAAUAUUUGCGAGAGUGGUUGCCACUAUUAUCACAUUGACGCCCAUUCCUGCCAUUUGAUGGAACCAAAUUACCUUGAUAUGUCCCUGCUGGUGGUCAUCUCUUGGGGUACCAACUGUUUCCGUGCUAAGAAAUGAUAGCCUGUUUUGCAAUGGAACUUUGCAGUAUUGUAAAUUGUUGUUACUAUAGUUUUGGUGAGUUUGAAUCACGUUUGAAAAUUUUAUUGAAAUUUUUCUUGUGAAAAUUUACAACUUUUAAAACUGCUUUUCUGAACUCGGUAGAAUUUUUUGCUCUGAAGUUUCAUUCAAAGUUCUUGACUUGUGUUUUCGUGAUCAUGUGCAUAGGUUUGGGGUGGGUUGGGUGCUCUUACACUCUCUAAAUCUUUGCCUAGGUUCUUUCGUUCGACAAUCAAGAAACCUCUCAAUGAAACGGCAAAAGUAGUCGGGAAGUUCACAAAAUCAGAUAUCUAUAGAAAUCAGAUAGGACAAAAAUAUUUCUUGCUGUUUUGAAGUUGCUUGGUUGUACGUCUUAAAGCACAGUUGUGAUAUCAUUAUUCUUUGCGACAAGUCACGAGAAGGAAUGAAAGGCGACCAUUGCUGAACCUUUACUUGCAAGAAACAUUCACCAGUCAAUGCUCAACUGAUCGCUUGUGCUUGUUCCGUGCAGGCUUUCAUUGGAAAGUGCCGCUUUCAAAUUAUUCUUUGAUGGUCAUCGUGGCCUUCAUUUAGAACAUUGGAUGUUUUCAUAUGUACAUGAGUUAUCUUCGACAUAAGAAACACUCGUUUAAUUAGCAAUGUAGACUCUUUUAAUUAGCAAUGUGAGUGUCAAUAUUUUCCUUUGUCCAAAAAUAUAAGAAAGAAAGCGUGUAAUUUACCAAUAUUCUCAAUUUAUAAUUGUCGAAGACUACGUAUUGUAUGGGAAA